rnacentral:rRNA from 1 species
AUUGAACGCUGGCGGCAGGCCUAACACAUGCAAGUCGAGCGGAUGAAGGGAGCUUGCUCCUGGAUUCAGCGGCGGACGGGUGAGUAAUGCCUAGGAAUCUGCCUGGUAGUGGGGGAUAACGACCGGAAACGGGCGCUAAUACCGCAUACGUCCUGAGGGAGAAAGUGGGGGAUCUUCGGACCACACGCUAUCAGAUGAGCCUAGGUCGGAUUAGCUAGUUGGUGGGGUAAAGGCCUACCAAGGCGACGAUCCGUAACUGGUCUGAGAGGAUGAUCAGUCACACUGGAACUGAGACACGGUCCAGACUCCUACGGGAGGCAGCAGUGGGGAAUAGUGGACAAUGGGCGAAAGCCUGAUCCAGCCAUGCCGCGUGUGUGAAGAAGGUCUUCGGAUUGUAAAGCACUUUAAGUUGGGAGGAAGGGCAGUAAGUUAAUACCUUGCUGUUUUGACGUUACCAACAGAAUAAGCACCGGCUAACUUCGUG